CCUACGGGGGGCUGCAGUGGGGAAUAUUGGACAAUGGGGGCAACCCUGAUCCAGCCAUGCCGCGUGUGUGAAGAAGGCCCUCGGGUUGUAAAGCACUUUCAGUGAGGAAGAACGCCUGGUGGUUAAUACCCAUCAGGAAAGACAUCACUCACAGAAGAAGCACCGGCUAACUCCGUGCCAGCAGCCGCGGUAAUACGGAGGGUGCGAGCGUUAAUCGGAAUUACUGGGCGUAAAGCGCGCGUAGGUGGCUUGAUAAGCCGGUUGUGAAAGCCCCGGGCUCAACCUGGGAACGGCAUCCGGAACUGUCCAGCUAGAGUGCAGGAGAGGAAGGUAGAAUUCCCGGUGUAGCGGUGAAAUGCGUAGAGAUCGGGAGGAAUACCAGUGGCGAAGGCGGCCUUCUGGACUGACACUGACACUGAGGUGCGAAAGCGUGGGUAGCAAACAGGAUUAGAUACCCGAGUAGUC
rnacentral:rRNA from 1 species